ensembl:misc_RNA Vault Vault RNA
GGGUCGGCUUUAGCUCAAGCGGUUACCUCCUCACGCUGGACUUUCCAUAGGUCCAACCUUUGCGCUGGGGUUCGAGACCCGCGGGUGCUUACUGACCCUUUU